rnacentral:rRNA from 1 species
GGAAACUUGUGCUAAUACCUCAUAAGUCUUUACGGAGAAAGCUUUAUGCGCCAAUGGAUGAGCCUGCACUUGAUUAGUUAGUUGGUGGGGUAAAGGCCUACCAAGACUUUGAUCAAUAGCUGAUUUGAGAGGAUGAUCAGCCACAUUGGGACUGAGACACGGCCCAAACUCCUACGGGAGGCAGCAGUAAGGAAUCUUGCACAAUGGAGGAAACUCUGAUGCAGCGAUGCCGCGUGAGUGAAGAAGGCCUUUGGGUUGUAAAGCUCUUUCGUCGGGGAAGAAAAUGACUGUACCCGAAUAAGAAGGUCCGGCUAACUUCGUGCCAGCAGCCGCGGUAAUACGAAGGGACCUAGCGUAGUUCGGAAUUACUGGGCUUAAAGAGUUCGUAGGUGGUUAAAAAAGUUGGUGGUGAAAUCCCAGAGCUUAACUCUGGAACUGCCAUCAAAACUUUUUAGCUAGAGUUUGAUAGAGGAAAGCAGAAUUUCUAGUGUAGAGGUGAAAUUCGUAGAUAUUAGAAAGAAUACCAAUUGCGAAGGCAGCUUUCUGGAUCAUUACUGACACUGAGGAACGAAAGCAUGGGUAGCGAAGAGGAUUAGAUACCCUCGUAGUCCAUGCCGUAAACGAUGUGUGUUAGACGUUGGAAAUUUAUUUUCAGUGUCGCAGCGAAAGCGAUAAACACACCGCCUGGGGAGUACGACCGCAAGGUUAAAACUCAAAUGAAUUGACGGGGACCCGCACAAGUAGUGGAGCAUGUGGUUUAAUUCGAAGAUACGCGCAGAACCUUACCAACACUUGACAUGUUCGUCGCGACCUUAAGAGAUUAAGGUUUUCGGUUCGGCCGGACGAAACACAGGUGCUGCAUGGCUGUCGUCAGCUCGUGUCGUGAGAUGUUGGGUUAAGUCCCGCAACGAGCGCAACCCUCACUUUUAGUU